rnacentral:rRNA from 1 species
UACGUAGGGUGCAAGCGUUAAUCGGAAUUACUGGGCGUAAAGCGUGCGCAGGCGGUUGUGCAAGACAGGUGUGAAAUCCCCGGGCUUAACCUGGGAACUGCAUUUGUGACUGCAUCGCUGGAGUGCGGCAGAGGGGGAUGGAAUUCCGCGUGUAGCAGUGAAAUGCGUAGAUAUGCGGAGGAACACCGAUGGCGAAGGCAAUCCCCUGGGCCUGCACUGACGCUCAUGCACGAAAGCGUGGGGAGCAAACAGG